ACGCCGGCGUCGAGGUGGCUCUGGCAAACAAAGAAAAAGACAAACGCUUGCGCUGUCGGCGACGUAGCCGCUGUAGCCGUAAACGCUGCCAGCGCCAGCCGCGCAGCUGACGCAUGUCUCCAAUUGCGCCUAACCCAAUUCAAGUGUCGUCAUUUGGUUUUUGGUCAUGGAGCGGGAGCACAGCAGUAGCAGCGGCGGCAGAGGCAGCAGCAGCGACAGCGGCACCGUAGACAGUGGCCAAAAAGCUUGCAAGCUGCAGCAAGGAAAGCUCUCACAGCAACCGCACUGCAUCGUGUGCCAAACUUUCUGUGUGUGCGUGUGUUUUGGCUUUUGUUUGCUUUAAUUCGGCGCGCUAAACAGCUGUAGAUGGGUAUGCAUCGAAUGCUUUACUUGAGCGAAUAUGGCCAAACGGUUAUAGGUAUGGCAUAUGGGACUAGUACGCUGUGGUCUUAGCAUUGCUAAUAUGAUUAACAUGAUUAUAUUAUAACGGAACUUACCUAAAUGCAUGGGUGUAUUAUAAUUUUGGUUUUUCUUUCUCCACAAUUAUUAUUUAUGUAAUUUAAUUUGCAGACCUACAAGGAUGAGCACUCAAAGUCAACUGCUUACAGACGCCUGCCCGCGCACACCUUUAUAGGCAUUUGAUGCAGGUAGGCCGAUGGCCUGGCAAAGCGAUUAAAAAGACAUUGCGGCUAGCCAACAGGUAGUUAGCCUGUCGGCCUGGACAUGCAGGCGCUUGUCGCGUGUCGGUGUGCGCGCGACCCGUCGCAACGGCCGUGGCCCACGGUGCCAAAAGCUUUCUAAUGGCAACGGCAACUUUGGUAAAGCUUUAAUUUGAAACUUGGCUGCGAGAGCGUGUGAGAAAGAGAGCGAGAGAGAGAGAGAGGAAGGAAGACAGAGCCGCGCGCAGCUCUGCUGCGCUGCGAUAAGCGCAGUUGGCUUUUCUGCUUUGUGUUCACAAUUCUAAACAAAGCCCAACGCAUUUGCUCUCAAGUCAUGUGUGCGCGAUUGCCUUUGACGCGAGGCAGCUCCCGUCACGUACGAUCUUAGCCAGACUUUGGCGUCUCUUUGCACACACACACACACACACACACACAUGCAAAUGUGCAUAUAUGCAUAAGCGCAUCCAAUGGAUGCAAAUGCUUGCAUCCCACUGCCCAGUCCCCCUCCCAGAGACCAAUGCCAAUGCCAAUUGCGUUUUAAUUUCAAGAUUUGUGACAGCGUCAACUUUAUCACGAGCAAGUCAAAUGCAUGCUCCAACGUUGAGUCACGCGCUGAGGCUCAUUAUAGAUGUGUGUGUGUGUGUUUGUGUGUGUGUAAAGCUCCCCUUUUUAGCAAAUUGGGGCACACGCAAAUGAGCUGCAGAUCUGGCUGACAAUGGUGGAGAGAGAGAGGUAGCCACAAUCAGGCUUUACAAAUUGUGUCAGUGUGUCAUGUUUGACUCUUGUUUCAUUUUGUUGUUGUUGUUUUAUUUUUUCUCUGAGACGCGAGCUCUCGUCAAAUGUGCAGGUAAAUGCAAAUAACACAAGGAAGUCAAGCAAAUAAAGCGAAAAGCAAAAAAAAAAAAAAAAAAACAAAUCGAUUGACUAAGGGGGAAACCGAAUUUCCGUUGAGAAGUAUUUCAAAAUUGAGAUACAUACAUAUAUACAAAUCAAUGUAAUAAAUGAUAAUAAUAAUGACCUUGUGCUUACCUAAUUAUGAAUAUCUUUGAAGUCCGUCGAUUGAUGUAAAAUUAAAAUCGCCGUCGUGUCACGACAAAUGAGUAAAACUCUCAACUCUAUCACUUGAACUUUGAAUGGGAUCGAUGAAAAUAUGCCCAGAAAUUGCCUGAAAAACAUCAAAAUAGUUUGAGGUAAAAAAUUAUGAUUGGAUUUUAUUGUAUACUACAAAAAUUUACAAAAAACAAAUGAA